rfam:Ixodes scapularis strain Wikel colony gcontig_1108378531588, whole genome shotgun sequence.
GCAGUCGUGGCCCAGUGGUUAAGGCGAUGGACAAGAAAUUCAUUGGGGUCUCCCCGCACAGGUUCGAAUCCUGUCGACUGCG